CCAGCUGAUUACAGACCGAAGCCUCUUCAAACCAAAAUUUCCCGUGCUAUGUCCCUCUGCCUUCCUAUUUCUCCUCUGUAGCCAGCUGACCAAGGACAUAACUGAACCAAAAUAAAUGGCUCCUCUUAAGAUCAGUCAGCAGUGAACCUACAAACACAAGUGUGGGAUAGGCUCCUUUCUUCAGCCUCAGGGACGUCUCAGACCCAGCCUGGUGACAUUUUCUCUCUGUGAGCCAACAGCAGAAGGUAAAAAGACAUCAGCAUCGAGAAGACAACUGCGGCUUUCAGCACAGACUGCAGCUUUCAGGUGCAGACUCUUCAACCUUUCAACACAGACCCUUCAGCUUCUCCAUACAGACUGCAGUGAGAUGCAGGCCUUUGAUUUUGACUGAAUCCUCUGGCUCUCCAGCAUGCAGAUAGCCCUUUUGAAUUCUCCCACAACUGGCUCUGCAGGUGGCCACUGUAAGCCUACACUGUAAAUCUUUAUUUAUCAAGUUUCUGGAAUACAUUCUUAUUCAAUGUAUUCCUCUAGUGCGCCCUAACUGGUACAGAUUUUGGUAGCAGGAGAGACUCUAGAGUAAGAAUGUAAGGAUUAAUUUCUUUGGAGGCUAUAGUGGUUCCUGGAGUUGGCUCUCUAAUUUGAUGAGAUCUAAAGUUUCUGUGGUAUCUCCUUCUGAUACUGUGGGGAGUACUGAUAUGUCGUGGUGUGAACUGCUUAAUGUAGUGAUGUCAAUCAGUUUGAUUAAGAUAAUCAAAUUCCAGUUGAGGUGCAAGCAAUUUAGUGGUGCUAUAUGUCAU